AGGGUUUGAUCCUGGCUCAGAAUGAACGCUGGCGGUAGGCUUAACACAUGCAAGUCGAACGGAAACGAUAAAGAGCUUGCUCUUUAGGCGUCGAGUGGCGGACGGGUGAGUAACGCGUGGGAAUCUACCCUAUAGUUGGGGACAACAUAUGGAAACGUAUGCUAAUACCGAAUAUGCUCUACGGAGUAAAGGAGCCCUCUUCUUGAAAGGUUUCGCUAUAGGAUGAGCCCGCGUUAGAUUAGCUAGUUGGUAAGGUAAAGGCUUACCAAGGCGACGAUCUAUAGCUGGUUUGAGAGGAUGAUCAGCCACACUGGGACUGAGACACGGCCCAGACUCCUACGGGAGGCAGCAGUGGGGAAUAUUGCACAAUGGACGAAAGUCUGAUGCAGCCAUACCGCGUGUGUGAAGAAGGCCCGAGGGUUGUAAAGCACUUUCAAUUGGGAGGAAGAUUAAGUAGUUAAUACCUACUUAGUUUGACGUUACCUUUAGAAGAAGCACCGGCUAACUCUGUGCCAGCAGCCGCGGUA
rnacentral:rRNA from 1 species